AACGAACGCUGGCGGCAGGCUUAACACAUGCAAGUCGAGCGCCCCGCAAGGGGAGCGGCCGACGGUUGAGUACCGCGUGGGCACGUACCCUUUGCUACGGAAUAGCUCCGGGACACUGGAAUUCAUACAGUAUGUGCCCUACGGGGGAAAGAAUUAUCGGCAAAGGAUCGGCCCGCGUUGGAUUAGCUAGUUGGUGGGGUAAUGGCCUUCCAAGGCGACGAUCCAUCGCUGGUCUGAGUGGAUGAUCAGGCACAUUGGGACAGAGACACGGCCCAAACUCCUACGGGAGGGAGCAGUGGGGAAUAUUGGACAAUGGGCGCAAGCCUGAUCCAGCCAUGCCGCGUGAGCGAUGAAGGCCGUAGGGUUGUAAAGCUCUUUCACCGGAGAAGAUAAUGACGGUAUCCGGAGAAGAAGCCCCGGCUAACUUCGUGCCAGCCGCCGCGGUAACAC
rnacentral:rRNA from 1 species